rnacentral:lncRNA from 1 species
GGCGAAUUCAUGCCUUCUCCUUCCUCCACGCCUUCCGAUCCAACUUCCCUCAAGUGUGCCGCCUGCGGUUGCCACCGUAACUUCCACCGCCGUGACCCCGACGAUUCAUCCCUCUCUUCCGCCGUUCCGCCACCGUCUCUCCCUCCAUCCUCCACCACCGCCGCCAUCGAGUACCAGCCUCACCACCGUCACCACCCGCCUCCACCAGCUCCUCCUCUCCCUCGCAGCCCUAAUUCCUCUUCUCCGCCGCCUAUCUCCUCCUCUUACAUGCUCCUCGC